rnacentral:rRNA from 1 species
UACGAAGGGUGCAAACGUUGCUCGGAAUUAUUGGGCGUAAAGCGUACGUAGGCGGCUUAGCAAGUCGGAAGUGAAAUCCCUCGGCUCAACCAAGGAAGUGCUUUCGAAACUGCUGAGCUUGAGUACUUAAGAGGAUCGCGGAAUUCCCGGUGUAGAGGUGAAAUUCGCAGAUAUCGGGAAGAACACCCGUGGCGAAGGCGGUUCUCUGGGACGGUACUGACGCUGAGACGCGAAAGCGUGGGGAGCGAACAGG